GGGAGUACGGCGCAAGGUUCAAACUCAAAUGAAUUGACGGGGGCCCGCACAGCGGUGGAGCAUGUGGUUUAAUUCGAUGCAACGCGAAGAACCUUACCUACUCUUGACAUCCAGAGAACUUUCCAGAGAUGGAUUGGUGCCUUCGGGAACUCUGAGACAGGUGCUGCAUGGCUGUCGUCAGCUCGUGUUGUGAAAUGUUGGGUUAAGUCCCGCAACGAGCGCAACCCUUAUCCUUUGUUGCCAGCGGUUAGGCCGGGAACUCAAAGGAGACUGCCAGUGAUAAACUGGAGGAAGGUGGGGAUGACGUCAAGUCAUCAUGGCCCUUACGAGUAGGGCUACACACGUGCUACAAUGGCGCAUACAAAGAGAAGCGACCUCGCGAGAGCAAGCGGACCUCAUAAAGUGCGUCGUAGUCCGGAUUGGAGUCUGCAACUCGACUCCAUGAAGUCGGAAUCGCUAGUAAUCGUAGAUCAGAAUGCUACGGUGAAUACGUUCCCGGGCCUUGUACACACCGCCCGUCACACCAUGGGAGUGGGUUGCAAAAGAAGUAGGUAGCUUAACCUUCGGGAGGGCGCUUACCACUUUGUGAUUCAUGACUGGGGUGAAGUCGUAACAAGGUAACCAAGGGCGAAUUCCAG
rnacentral:rRNA from 1 species